rnacentral:misc_RNA from 1 species
GAACGGGGUACUGUAAGUGGUAGAGUAGCCUUGUUGCUACGAUCCACUGAGGUUAAGCCCUUGUUCUAAAGAUUUGUUCAACUUUGUUGGACUUUCUCUUUUCUUUUUACAUGCUGAGACCUUGAGGGCCGGGAUAGUAUCYUUUGUGCACUCGCGACAGCAUGUUACUUAGAUUCGAAAGGGUAGGCUAACAACAACGCCUUAGUGUUUUGUUACCUUUCUCUUUUGAAUCACGAGUUAUUAUGAGCCUUGAAGGCUUAUAAGGCACUUAUUUAGCAAGCUCUAACCGUGCGCUGACUUGGAACGGUCUUUACCUUGUACUUGAUAUCGACCUUAUGGCCGAUAUCCCGUAUAUGGUAUAGCCAAGAUCCUUGAAAGGGCGAGUCAACGACUGAUUUUCUGGAUCGUUAGUGAGCCUGAGGGCCUGCCCUAAGGUUGCCAUGAUUGAAAAGGCCUUAGAAGCUAAGUAAGUUAAGCUACGGUUACCUUUUUAGCCGUUUCAACCGUUUGCUUAGCUUUCGAGGGCUACGUUCAAAAUUUGAACGGCAACCGGUUCUGAAACGAAAGGUUUGCUAAGUAAACCAUUGGUCAAGACCGGUUUGCAACAAUUUUGGUGGCUGUAGGGCGAGUUUUCAUUGACUUGGCCUAUAAUGCGAGCUGGUAACAAAACGCAAUAAAAUGCACACUUGUU